AUCUAACUGAAGAGUCUCAAAUAGGAUGAAACGCGUAUCCUGGAU
rfam:Schistosoma haematobium scaffold168_25, whole genome shotgun sequence.